AUGAGCUGGAAGAACAAUGCAGUGAGAUCAACAGAGAGAAGGAGAAGAACACGCAGCUGAAGAGGAGGAUCGAGGAGCUGGAGGCAGAGCUCCGAGAAAAGGAGACAGAGCUGAAAGAUCUCCGAAAACAAAGUGAAAUCAUACCUCAGCUCAUGUCAGAGUGCGAAUAUGUCUCUGAGAAGCUAGAGGCGGCAGAGAGAGACAAUCAAAACCUGGAAGACAAAGUGCGUUCCUUAAAGACAGACAUUGAGGAGAGCAAAUACCGACAGCGCCACCUGAAGGUGGAGUUGAAGAGCUUCCUGGAGGUGCUGGACGGGAAGAUUGAUGACCUGCAUGACUUCCGCCGAGGGCUCUCCAAGCUGGGCACCGAUAACUAGGGCUGGCCGAGGCCCAGGCCCCGCCCUGGCCCUGGAGCAACCUGGACGGUGUUCCCUUGAGCUGGUGUGACGUGCCCUCGUUUAUUCUGACAUCCAGCCCAGUCUCAGUACUGUUGUCAUAACCUUACGCCAGACUCAGGCAGAAUGUAAGCCAUUCACUCGUGAGCAUCGCAGCCGCUUGUGCUGCCUGGAAGCUGCAGGGCCAGGACUGCAUUUUCAGUUUGCAAUUGAGGUCUCCUGAUUUUGAUGUUUCCAAGACUGGCUGCUAUACCUUGAUAAGCUUUCCUUCUGCCUCCAUGAAACCUGGUGUCUAAAAAAGAUCAACUAAAACUUGGAACCCUUUAACCAAGAGGACCUUUAAAAAUAACCUUUCAUUCCAGUCAAGACCCAGCUGGAUGCAUUUUAAAGUUGGGAGUGGCGAGGAAGCCUUCCUAGUGCCGCCCGGGGAAUGUAAAACCACCAGAGCAACAGGUUGGGACAGUAUGGUCAGGCCUUGGAGGGAAAGAGAACCAGUAUCCACACAAGACCUCGAACUUGUGUGGCCCCUCAGUUUCAUCUCUCCUGCCUGCCAUCACAUUAGACUUUAAUUGGGUGAGAGAACAGGGCAGAGACUGUCACCUGCAUUUUGCAGAUGGGAAGUAGAGACAGAGAAAGUGACACACCCAGGGUCACCCAGCGGUGACCAGCAGCGUGGACUCUGCAUCCAGGUCUCCUGGACCUUGAUGCAGUAUCUUUUGAGACAUGCC
rnacentral:lncRNA from 1 species